rnacentral:rRNA from 1 species
ACGGGAGGCAGCAGUGGGGAAUCUUGGGCAAUGGGGGAAACCCUGACCCAGCGACGCCGUGUGGGGGAUGAAGGCCUUCGGGUUGUAAACCCCUGUUGGGUGGGACGAAUGCCGGUUCGCCAAUAGCGAACCGGUUUGACGGUACCACCAGAGAAAGCCCCGGCUAACUCCGUGCCAGCAGCCGCGGUAAUACGGAGGGGGCGAGUGUUGUUCGGAAUUACUGGGCGUAAAGGGCGCGCAGGCGGCUUGGCAAGUCAAGUGUGAAAUCCCUCAGCUUAACUGAGGAAUUGCGCUUGAAACUACCUCGCUAGAGGGUGGGAGAGGGAAGUGGAACUCUCGGUGUAGGGGUGAAAUCUGUAGAUAUCGAGAGGAACACCGGUGGCGAAGGCGGCUUCCUGGCCCACAUCUGACGCUGAGGCGCGAAAGCGUGGGGAGCAAACAGGAUUAGAUACCCUGGUA